rnacentral:rRNA from 1 species
GAUGAACGCUGGCGGCGUGCCUAAUACAUGCAAGUCGAGCGAACAGACGAGGCUCUUGCUUCUCUGACGUUAGCGGCGGACGGGUGAGUACCACGUGGAUAACCUACCUAUAAGACUGGCAUCACUUCGGGAAACCUGAUCUAACACCGGAUAAUAUAUUGAACCGGAUGGUUCAAUAGUGAAAGACGGAUUUGCUGUCACUUAUAGAUGGAUCCGGGCCGGAUUAGCUAGUUGGUAAGGUAACGGCUUACCAAGGCGACGAUGCGUAGCCGACCUGAGAGGGUGAUCGGCCACACUGGAACUGAGACACGGUCCAGACUCCUACGGGAGGCAGCAGUAGGGAAUCUUCCGCAAUGGGCGAAAGCCUGACGGAGCAACGCCGCGUGUGUGAUGAAGGUCUUCGGAUCGUAAAACUCUGUUAGUAGGGAAGAAGAAAUGUGUAAGUAACUAUGCACGUCUUGACGGUACCUAAUCAGAAAGCCACGGCUAACUACGUG